UAGGGAAUCUUCGGCAAUGGACGGAAGUCUGACCGAGCAACGCCGCGUGAGUGAAGAAGGUUUUCGGAUCGUAAAGCUCUGUUGUAAGAGAAGAACGAGUGUGAGAGUGGAAAGUUCACACUGUGACGGUAUCUUACCAGAAAGGGACGGCUAACUACGUGCCAGCAGCCGCGGUAAUACGUAGGUCCCGAGCGUUGUCCGGAUUUAUUGGGCGUAAAGCGAGCGCAGGCGGUUAGAUAAGUCUGAAGUUAAAGGCUGUGGCUUAACCAUAAUACGCUUUGGAAACUGUUUAACUUGAGUGCAAGAGGGGAGAGUGGAAUUCCAUGUGUAGCGGUGAAAUGCGUAGAUAUAUGGAGGAACACCGGUGGCGAAAGCGGCUCUCUGGCUUGUAACUGACGCUGAGGCUCGAAAGCGUGGGGAGCAAACAGGAUUAGAUACCCUGGUAGUCCACGCUGUAAACGAUGAGUGCUAGGUGUUAGACCCUUUCCGGGGUUUAGUGCCGCAGCUAACGCAUUAAGCACUCCGCCUGGGGAGUACGGCCGCAAGGUUG
rnacentral:rRNA from 1 species